rnacentral:rRNA from 1 species
GGGUUGUGAGGUUAAGCGACUAAGCGUACACGGUGGAUGCCCUGGCAGUCAGAGGCGAUGAAGGGCGUGCUAAUCUGCGAUAAGCGCCGGUAAGGUGAUAUGAACCGUUAUAACCGGCGAUACCCGAAUGGGGAAACCCAGUGUGACUCGUCACACUAUCAUUAACUGAAUCCAUAGGUUAAUGAGGCGAACCGGGGGAACUGAAACAUCUAAGUACCCCGAGGAAAAGAAAUCAACCGAGAUUCCCCCAGUAGCGGCGAGCGAACGGGGAGGAGCCCAGAGCCUGAAUCAGCAUGUGUGUUAGUGGAAGCGUCUGGAAAGGCGCGCGAUACAGGGUGACAGCCCCGUACACAAAAGCGCAUGUGCUGUGAGCUCGAUGAGUAGGGCGGGACACGUGGUAUCCUGUCUGAAUAUGGGGGGACCAUCCUCCAAGGCUAAAUACUCCUGACUGACCGAUAGUGAACCAGUACCGUGAGGGAAAGGCGAAAAGAACCCCGGCGAGGGGAGUGAAAAAGAACCUGAAACCGUGUACGUACAAGCAGUGGGAGCACAGGUUUACCUGUGUGACUGCGUACCUUUUGUAUAAUGGGUCAGCGACUUAUAUUCUGUAGCAAGGUUAACCGAAUAGGGGAGCCGGAGGGAAACCGAGUCUUAACCGGGCGUUAAGUUGCAGGGUAUAGACCCGAAACCCGGUGAUCUAGCCAUGGGCAGGUUGAAGGUUGGGUAACACUAACUGGAGGACCGAACCGACUAAUGUUGAAAAAUUAGCGGAUGACCUGUGGCUGGGGGUGAAAGGCCAAUCAAACCGGGAGAUAGCUGGUUCUCCCCGAAAGCUAUUUAGGUAGCGCCUCGUGAAUUCAUCUCCGGGGGUAGAGCACUGUUUCGGCUAGGGGGCCAUCCCGGCUUACCAACCCGAUGCAAACUGCGAAUACCGGAGAAUGUUAUCACGGGAGACACACGGCGGGUGCUAACGUCCGUCGUGAAGAGGGAAACAACCCAGACCGCCAGCUAAGGUCCCAAAGUCAUGGUUAAGUGGGAAACGAUGUGGGAAGGCCCAGACAGCCAGGAUGUUGGCUUAGAAGCAGCCAUCAUUUAAAGAAAGCGUAAUAGCUCACUGGUCGAGUCGGCCUGCGCGGAAGAUGUAACGGGGCUAAACCAUGCACCGAAGCUGCGGCAGCGANNGUUGGGUAGGGGAGCGUUCUGUAAGCCUGUGAAGGUGGCCUGUGAGGGUUGCUGGAGGUAUCAGAAGUGCGAAUGCUGACAUAAGUAACGAUAAAGCGGGUGAAAAGCCCGCUCGCCGGAAGACCAAGGGUUCCUGUCCAACGUUAAUCGGGGCAGGGUGAGUCGACCCCUAAGGCGAGGCCGAAAGGCGUAGUCGAUGGGAAACGGGUUAAUAUUCCCGUACUUGGUGUUACUGCGAAGGGGGGACGGAGAAGGCUAUGUUGGCCGGGCGACGGUUGUCCCGGUUUAAGCGUGUAGGUGUGUGUUCCAGGUAAAUCCGGUUCACUUUAACACUGAGGCGUGAUGACGAGGCACUACGGUGCUGAAGUAACAAAUGCCCUGCUUCCAGGAAAAGCCUCUAAGCAUCAGGUAACAUCAAAUCGUACCCCAAACCGACACAGGUGGUCAGGUAGAGAAUACCAAGGCGCUUGAGAGAACUCGGGUGAAGGAACUAGGCAAAAUGGUGCCGUAACUUCGGGAGAAGGCACGCUGACACGUAGGUGAAGUGAUUUACUCAUGGAGCUGAAGUCAGUCGAAGAUACCAGCUGGCUGCAACUGUUUAUUAAAAACACAGCACUGUGCAAACACGAAAGUGGACGUAUACGGUGUGACGCCUGCCCGGUGCCGGAAGGUUAAUUGAUGGGGUCAGCGCAAGCGAAGCUCCUGAUCGAAGCCCCGGUAAACGGCGGCCGUAACUAUAACGGUCCUAAGGUAGCGAAAUUCCUUGUCGGGUAAGUUCCGACCUGCACGAAUGGCGUAAUGAUGGCCAGGCUGUCUCCACCCGAGACUCAGUGAAAUUGAACUCGCUGUGAAGAUGCAGUGUACCCGCGGCAAGACGGAAAGACCCCGUGAACCUUUACUAUAGCUUGACACUGAACAUUGAGCCUUGAUGUGUAGGAUAGGUGGGAGGCUUUGAAGUGUGGACGCCAGUCUGCAUGGAGCCGACCUUGAAAUACCACCCUUUAAUGUUUGAUGUUCUAACGUGGACCCGUGAUCCGGGUUGCGGACAGUGUCUGGUGGGUAGUUUGACUGGGGCGGUCUCCUCCUAAAGAGUAACGGAGGAGCACGAAGGUUGGCUAAUCCUGGUCGGACAUCAGGAGGUUAGUGCAAUGGCAUAAGCCAGCUUGACUGCGAGCGUGACGGCGCGAGCAGGUGCGAAAGCAGGUCAUAGUGAUCCGGUGGUUCUGAAUGGAAGGGCCAUCGCUCAACGGAUAAAAGGUACUCCGGGGAUAACAGGCUGAUACCGCCCAAGAGUUCAUAUCGACGGCGGUGUUUGGCACCUCGAUGUCGGCUCAUCACAUCCUGGGGCUGAAGUAGGUCCCAAGGGUAUGGCUGUUCGCCAUUUAAAGUGGUACGCGAGCUGGGUUUAGAACGUCGUGAGACAGUUCGGUCCCUAUCUGCCGUGGGCGCUGGAGAACUGAGGGGGGCUGCUCCUAGUACGAGAGGACCGGAGUGGACGCAUCACUGGUGUUCGGGUUGUCAUGCCAAUGGCACUGCCCGGUAGCUAAAUGCGGAAGAGAUAAGUGCUGAAAGCAUCUAAGCACGAAACUUGCCCCGAGAUGAGUUCUCCCUGAGACUUAGAGUCUCCUGAAGGAACGUUGAAGACGACGACGUUGAUAGGCCGGGUGUGUAAGCGCAGCGAUGCGUUGAGCUAACCGGUACUAAUGAACCGUGAGGCUUAACCCUACAACGCCGAAG